AUUGAACGCUGGCGGCAUGCCUUACACAUGCAAGUCGAACGGCAGCACGGGAGCAAUCCUGGUGGCGAGUGGCGAACGGGUGAGUAAUAUAUCGGAACGUGCCCAGUCGUGGGGGAUAACGUAGCGAAAGCUACGCUAAUACCGCAUACGAUCUAUGGAUGAAAGCGGGGGAUCGCAAGACCUCGCGCGAUUGGAGCGGCCGAUAUCAGAUUAGGUAGUUGGUGAGGUAAAGGGCUCACCAAGCCGACGAUCUGUAGCUGGUCUGAGAGGACGACCAGCCACACUGGGACUGAGACACGGCCCAGACUCCUACGGGAGGCAGCAGUGGGGGAAUUUUUGGACAAUGGNGCAAGACCUGAUCCAGCAAUAGCCGCGUGCAGGAGU
rnacentral:rRNA from 1 species